rnacentral:rRNA from 1 species
CCCGCUGAACUUAAGCAUAUCAAUAAGCGGAGGAAAAGAAACUAACAAGGAUUCCCCUAGUAACUGCGAGUGAAGCGGGAAAAGCUCAAAUUUGAAAUCUGGCGGUCCCUUGCGGCCGUCCGAGUUGUAAUCUAGAGAAGCGCCAUCCGCGCUUGGCCACCGUGUACAAGUCUCCUGGAACGGAGCGUCGCAGAGGGUGAGAAUCCCGUCUUUGACACGGAAAACAGCGGCCAGGGCUUUUUGGUGUGAUGCGCUCUCGAAGAGUCGAGUUGUUUGGGAAUGCAGCUCAAAAUGGGUGGUAAAUUCCAUCUAAAGCUAAAUAUUGGCGAGAGACCGAUAGCGAACAAGUACCGUGAGGGAAAGAUGAAAAGCACUUUGGAAAGAGAGUUAAACAGUACGUGAAAUUGUUGAAAGGGAAACGCUUGCGACCAGACUUGCCCUCAGUUGAUCAACCGGGGAUAAACUCCGGUGCACUCUGCUGAGGUCAGGCCAGCAUCGGUUUAGGCGGUUGGAGAAAGGCCUUGGGAAUGUGGCUCCUUCCGGGGAGUGUUAUAGCCCAUGGUGCCAUGCGACCAGCCUGGACCGAGGACCGCGCCUUAGUGCUAGGAUGC